rnacentral:lncRNA from 1 species
GAAAAAUAGUGGUUGUGAUGAGGUUUAAGAAAAGUACAUCUAGUUUCCCUUUCUUUUUUCUCUAGCGUUUUUUCCAGCAGAUGGACAAUUGCACAAAUCUGAAAACGAAAAAGAAGGAACUGCAUCCCUACAGCCGGUGGCAUCACAAGUGAAGCCUUAGUGGAGCAAGCUCUCACUUGAAUAUUAUGAAGGCUUUCGAACCAGACCAUUGCUGCUAGCCCCACCAAAAGAACUGCUGUCUGGCCAAGAGGAGCUGGGAGCUCUGUUAAUGCAGCUGUACUUGAGAAGGAGCCUGCAUGCCCAGGAGGAUGGGUGCUCUCCUGUCCUGCUUUUCCACCUGCAACAAUUUGCUUAGAUCAUGUAGGAUGACAGAGGUGGGGAAGAGACCAGAACAGAAUCUCAGAGCAGCCUUUGGACACCAGCUGCCACCCGUGAGCACCAUCUAGCUGGCUCCUAGCACAACAGCAUGGGAAGCUGAGCAAGUGCAACUCCUGAAGCUCAACAAAACAAGCUUUCCGUGCUAUAGCUUGGGGAUGUAAGAUAUGUAAGUACUGCAAAGCAUCCAGGAGCCUGAUAUUCCUAUAAGCCAUUUGUCAUAAAAGCACAUCUGGUUGUUUCACAGCGCACUGAUGUAGCAAAAGUAUCUUCCUCAAUGGGAUAUCUACAAGAAGCAAGUGUCCCAGUCUAAGAAUCUGGUUUUUUAAAACCUUUGUACUCUACAAAUAUCAAUCGUAUUACAUCCUAUUUCUUUUCAGCUGAUCAAUUCUCUGUAAACAUAGUGCUGUGCUGAGGGAGAAGUACUGAACUGAAGCAUGAAAACCCCCUUUUGCCUGG